ensembl:lncRNA
CACAGGGUUCACACCACUCUGGGCUCAUUUAAGGGCAAGCCUCCAUAGGGAGACUAUCUCUUGGUUGAAGGCUGUGUCCUGAGGAGUGAGUGUUCUAUUGCCAGAGACCCUCAUCAACAGCUGGCAAAAGUUCUCAAAAGGCUUUGUGACACCACUGGCCAGCACCAACCCAAAUAUUGCAGAUGGAGUGAUACAGAGUCCUGGUGAGAAAGGAGGGGAGGGCACCCAGAUGUCCAGAGCCAGCAGUCCUGGCUCCUGAGACUACAGCUGCCACAACAGGGCAUCCGAGGAAGACAGAAGCAGAGGAACAGGCUGACAAAAUGGUAUCCUGACCUGGAAGUGCAGAUGAAGCAAGGGGUUGUCAUUGAAUUCCUCCAAGUGGAAAAAAUGGCACCCAUUGAUAUUCACUGGUGCUUAAAUGAUGCACUGAUGUUAAACGUUUGUGGAGACAAAGCAUUGGAUUUUACAUACGUUGUGAUGCUGAUGAAGCUGAAGGUUUGAACUUCCAGCAUGAGGCCAGAGAAGAAGACAUCCUUCCUAUUGCAACUCAGUAAUGCCAGGCCUCAUACCAAUUUGAAGAUCAUUGCCAAUCUUGGCUGGACUGCACUACCACAUCCACCAUACAGUCUGGAUUUGGUGCCCUCUGACUUUCCUCUGUUCAGGCUGAUGAAAGAUGGACUGCGUGGUCAACAUUUUCCUAGCAGCAAUACUAUCAUAGCAUCUCUGAAACAGUGGGUCACUUCCAUUACGGUGUAUUUUUUAUGAUAACAGCAUGUAGGCUUAUGUUCACCACUGGCAAAAAUGCAUAGCUUAAUGGUGGUGAAUCUGCUAGAAAAUCUUGUUUUGUAGCUGAGAAUCUGCCCUAUCAAAUAGUGUUAUUGUACUCUUUGUAUCAGUUGUGGUUUCCAUGGAAAUAAAUACGAGCUAUUACUUUCAGAGUGACCAACGUGUAAACAUUUAAAAAAAAUACUGAAGCCUUCAGUCGUUGGCAUUUAACCUCUUGUCAGCAAGAAUAGCAUAUCUACUGCUUCUCAGUUCCAUAGCCUUGAUAGUUUCUGGUCUCUGUCAUCCUGAGAUUCUGCGAAACAAUUCUUUAUGCUAAUUAUACCUUGAUAUAAGAUGCUGCUAGUUUGGAGUAGUGAUUUCAUUUUCAUUUAUGGAAAUGAGCAUGUGAGAUCAAGAGAAAAGGCAAAGUCCUCCGAAGGAGGGGUAGUGUAGAAGAAUAGACUCCUCACAAGAACUCCAACAUUAUUUCUUCCUAUUUUUUUUUUUCUAGAAGCAGCUAUCAUGGUUACAGCUAGACGGUAUUUAGAAAGAGGAUUUAAAAUAAAUAUUUUAUUUCCCCUGGAAUUACUGAAGAAGCAUUGAAUUACUUUUCAAAGUAGUUCAACGUGGUUAGGUUGUUUCAUUUUUUCUGAAUGUGUGAGGCUGUUUCUGCUUGGAAUGCAGCAUCUCUUUC